UCCCCGCGCCCUCAGCGCUUGGCCGCGGCCCCGUACGCCUGCGACCCCAGCGCCCACCAGCUGCCGCGCCACCACCCGCGACCCCGACCCCGACACCCAGCGCCCACCACCUGCGACCCCGACGCUCACCGGCCGCAGCGCGCGUUCCCCCGCGACCCCGACGCCCGCCCGCCGUUGUGUACCCUUGCGACCUCGGCGCCCACCCGCCGCCGCGCGCGUACCCUGCGACCCCGACGCCCACCGGCCGCGGCGUGCAUCCCCCAGCGACCCGACGCCCGUCCGCCCAUCACCUACUCCCACGACGUGGCAAGGACCACCAUCUCUUCUGGGGCAGCAACGAAGAAGCCUAGGGCCAAAUCCCAAUCUCUGAACAGAUUUGAAGUGAUUGAAGUAUAGAGAUAAGAUCUUGAUCUUUUCAAGGAAGGUUGGAGAGGGAAAAAAGGGCAGCGAUCUGCAUUUGUGUUUGGUUGGAGAAAAGGGCAGCUGUGCAACCAAAGCUUGAAGAAAGAUUGGAGAGUAGUACUGCUGAAGACAUGCAGGCAUAGGCAGGGUUUAUCCAGAAAACCGUCAAGGGGGACCUAUUCAUCAAAGGAAAUUAUGUAAUUCGACCAUGUAAACACCAUGGGAAGGUUCUAGAAGACUCCAGGAGGCUAACCCCAAAACCUUUGUUUUGGAUGUCGGUUCUCCACCGCCUCCUAGAUUGUAUCUUCACUGUUUAUUCAAGUUUGUUUGAUCCAGGGCUUGGAUUGAUGCUCCGACCUAUAUAUAGCAGCCUCUACUCUCCUCCCUUAGGCAUAAGUCAAAGCAAAAGAUAGAGAUUAAACCCUAAUCCUAUGAGUUUCAUUCUAGGGCAUAGCUAGUUAGGUUAGAUCUAGAGAGAGGCAAGUAGGCUUCGCUUGGAUUCUCGAUCAUGUCAAGAACGUGGCUCGGUAUAACCUUUGUACCCUCUCUCUUUUAUAUCUCCAUUACUUUUAUAUGU